UUAGGUCGUAUCAUCGGGAAGCCCAUCUUCAUGUAUGAUGAUGUUGACUCGGAUCCACUCUGCGUUGACCUCGCGAGAAAGAGACAUGGGGGGUCUAUUCUACUGUCAUUAAUGUACCCCGUGAAGCGUACACCGUGUCGUUACGUUCUUUGUUUUGUCUCUCGAGUAUACUAUCGUUACCCUGUAGCCUACACUAUAAAUAUCGUAACGGCACCGUGUACGCUUCACGGCGUCCGCGAACAAACCUCCUUCGUCUCUCUCGCUCGCUAGGCGAAGAGAGGGGCCGGCGUGCAUUCCCGGCCCGUUUCAGUAACCGUCGCGAGCCCUACCCACGCCGACCGACACCCCAUCAUCCGCCGUCCAAUCCCCUAGAGCGCUAAUGUCCACGCUCUUCCUCGCUCCUCCCUGAGGCGACUCGGUAGGAGUCCGAAUCGCCAAGGACCGACGUUCCUCCGUCGUCCGCGUCCCCCCGCCCGCGGAUCCACGUCGCGGGGCUUGGACCCUUGACGGUCUCCACGCGCGGGAGGGGGAUCGGGUGGAUCCCGUGGCGAUCCGACGGUCGGUGGUUGCGGCCUUCUGGUGUUGUAUCAUGGAAUAGAGGGGGGUCAAGCCGCGUGCGCUCGGGACAUGAAACCCCCAAGCGUAACGGCCGGCAGCCCCGACAGCCACUAUAGGAUGGCGGCGCAAUCGCAAUCACACUCGGAGUCGGAGGGGCUUCCUCGCUUAGGUUUCCUCAUGGAGGGGCCUGACCCAACCACCACCACUACCCCAUCCGCCGCCGGAACCCCGAUGCCGCCAAGCGGACCCUCGCGGAGGGAGAGAACUACCGUUCCUCCUCGAUCAUCCCCCCGCCGCCCUCCGCGGACACUGGCGCCGGGGAAGACCCUGUCGCACGGGUCGGUGUCACUACUGGGGAGGCGGAGGGACAUGGAGGACACGAUGACGGAGGUGACGGGCUUCUCGGCAGGUGGAUACGGGUAGUUCGCGGUGCACGACGGGCACGGGGGAGCGAUGGUGGCGCGGGCGUGCCGGGACCGGCUGCAGGUGGCUGUGACGGAGGGCCGCCCGGGUGGGUGAGGGGGAGGAGACGUGGAGGUGGGCGUGAAGGUGGACGCCGCGGCGAUGUUGGAGGUCGCGGAGCUGUAGCAGGGGUUGGUGGUGGGAGACAAAUGGAUCAUGGUGGCCACAUGCGGCGACUCCCGGACGGUGCUCUCACGCGGCGGGGUGGCCGUGCCCCCUUUCUAUCCAUCAAGCUCUCUAUCACAAAAAAAAGAACAUAUCAGCUGUGAAGAACACCACGCUAUGAUGUGAGUUGACAAAGUUAGGCCAGUAUCCGGGAUAUGCAUUGAACUCUGCAACAGCUGACGACGUCAAAUGUGGAUAGGAUGUCCACCCCCGAGUCUUUCUUCUAGAUUCGAAUAGCAGAUGCACAUGAUGAGGGUGGUUGCUUUGAUCCAACCAAUCAAAUGCCUUUUGUCGAGUUACUUGGAAAUUCCAGUGUCGGAGGUAACACAACAGAACAAGUAGGAAGUUUCCUUAAUAAUAUUGUUCAUCGAUAUCUACGUUUUCCACCACCAACAACAGCAACCCGAGCAACAAGAUAUCCAAAGUUAUCUGCUCUACAUGGAUCAGGAAAGCAGCAUCUCUCCGUGGUAGCUUCCCUGAUUUGUUUUUCUUCUCAGCUCAACAAAAAGGUAAUUUUGUACACAAAUCAACAGAGACGAUUGGUAAAGAACGAGUGACUCCUCAUAAGUGUCAUCACAUUUCUGCCAGAAAAGCUCCAAAUUUUUUCUCGUAGAUUCCAUUAAUAAGCUGUUGCUGGUUGAGACCCCAGGCGGACGCUAAAUGCAUCAUUAGCUGAUCCGGUGGUGGUGUCCCCUCCCAAUAUUCUGGUGGCUCUGAAA